UUAAUUGAAGAGUUUGAUCAUGGCUCAGAUUGAACGCUGGCGGCAGGCCUAACACAUGCAAGUCGAGCGGAAACAGAAAGGUGCUUGCACCUUUGCUGUCGAGCGGCGGACGGGUGAGUAAUGCCUAGGGAACUGCCCAGUCGAGGGGGAUAACAGUUGGAAACGACUGCUAAUACCGCAUACGCCCUACGGGGGAAA
rnacentral:rRNA from 1 species